rnacentral:rRNA from 1 species
AGCGAACGCUGGCGGCAGGCCUAACACAUGCAAGUCGAACGAACCUUUCGGGGUUAGUGGCGGACGGGUGAGUAACACGUGGGAACGUGCCUUUAGGUUCGGAAUAACUCAGGGAAACUUGUGCUAAUACCGAAUGUGCCCUUCGGGGGAAAGAUUUAUCGCCUUUAGAGCGGCCCGCGUCUGAUUAGCUAGUUGGUUGAGGUAAUGGCUCACCAAGGCGACGAUCAGUAGCUGGUCUGAGAGGAUGAUCAGCCACAUUGGGACUGAGACACGGCCCAAACUCCUACGGGAGGGAGCAGUGGGGAAUCGUGCGCAAGGGGCGAAAGCCUGACGCAGCCAUGCCGCGUGAAUGAUGAAGGUCUGAGGAUUGUAAAAGUCUUUCACCGGGGACGAUAAUGACGGUACCCGGAGAAGAAGCCCCGGCUAACUUCGUG